GCGGACGGGUGAGUAACACGUGGGCAACCUGCCUGUAAGACUGGGAUAACACCGGGAAACCGGUGCUAAUACCGGAUAAUCCUUUUCCUCUCAUGAGGAAAAGCUGAAAGUCGGUUUCGGCUGACACUUACAGAUGGGCCCGCGGCGCAUUAGCUAGUUGGUGAGGUAACGGCUCACCAAGGCGACGAUGCGUAGCCGACCUGAGAGGGUGAUCGGCCACACUGGGACUGAGACACGGCCCAGACUCCUACGGGAGGCAGCAGUAGGGAAUCUUCCACAAUGGACGAAAGUCUGAUGGAGCAACGCCGCGUGAGCGAUGAAGGCCUUCGGGUCGUAAAGCUCUGUUGUUAGGGAAGAACAAGUACCGGAGUAACUGCCGGUACCUUGACGGU
rnacentral:rRNA from 1 species